rnacentral:rRNA from 4 species
GACGAACGCUGGCGGCGUGCUUAACACAUGCAAGUCGAACGGAAAGGCCCCUUCGGGGGUACUCGAGUGGCGAACGGGUGAGUAACACGUGGGUAAUCUGCCCUGCACUUCGGGAUAAGCCUGGGAAACUGGGUCUAAUACCGGAUAGGACCAAAAGGCGCAUGCCUUGUGGUGGAAAGCUUUUGCGGUGUGGGAUGGGCCCGCGGCCUAUCAGCUUGUUGGUGGGGUGACGGCCUACCAAGGCGACGACGGGUAGCCGGCCUGAGAGGGUGUCCGGCCACACUGGGACUGAGAUACGGCCCAGACUCCUACGGGAGGCAGCAGUGGGGAAUAUUGCACAAUGGGCGCAAGCCUGAUGCAGCGACGCCGCGUGGGGGAUGACGGCCUUCGGGUUGUAAACCUCUUUCACCAUCGACGAAGGUCCGGGUUUUCUCGGA